rnacentral:lncRNA from 1 species
AAUUUACAAUGAAGAAAAGUCAGUCACGCACAACCAAGCACGGGCUCAUUUACUGAACAAAUGGAAUCUGAUCUCCAACUAUCGGCAAUAUCACAAGGUGCUCCACAAGUCCAAAACCCAGCGAGUUUAGUAAAAAGACUACAGUGGGAGUACAAUGAUAACACAGCAACACCACUAGAGAGAGCUUAUUAUCUAGUGUAAUAGCCAUCAUCAUCGAAGCUCCUGCUCCUUACUGGGCUUCUGCUCCUAGAGCCAUAAGGAGAUCUUGAGUAAGACCUCUCUCUGUACCAGAGAGCAUACGCGGACAUAUCAGUACAGUACAGGUUAUAUAUUUGUCCAACUACCGUCAAAAGGAAAACCAUAUUGCUAAGCUAGGAAUUAGGGGUGUACAAAGGAAACCGACAAACCGCACCAACCCGAUAAUCCGAGUCAAACCGAGAAGAAAUACAUUGUAAAGAUCAAAGAGAAGUCGACGAUAAUUAUGAAAUGUGCGUAAUUCGCAUUAUCAAAGGUCUUGAAAAAUAUUUAAUUCUCCAAUUUUAACAUGCCUAAAUAAGAAUAAUAUACAAACUGUAAAACAUAUUUAAUAAUAUAAUUUUCUAUAUAGUAUAUGAACGAAAAUUUCCCUUUUAAAAUUAAGCAAAAUUGUUCCACUUUUUCACGCAAAAAUAAAAUUUAAAUAAAAAUAUCCCUUUCUAAAGUCCGAAAAAAUCCAACAUACAUUCAAACUUUUUAGAUGAAACCAUAAGUACGCUAAAUUUCAUAAUAUACUAAAAUUCCAAAAUAAUAUAUCAGAGAUAUAUAUGUAGGAGCUCCAUAUCACAUGCUGUAUCUUUUUCGUUUCAGUUAAAGGCAUUUUUAUCCAAAUUUUUUCUCAACAAAUAAUAGCUAUUAUUCAAUCACUUCACAAACAUUAACUAUUUUUCAAUCAAAUGACCGAAUCAACGUAUGAAGUGCAAAAUAUUAACAUCCUCCCCAGUAAUUACGUCAAUACUGGCCAUAGCUACAAUAAUGAAUAGCUCACGAUUUUAGAGAUCUUCAACAAACAGGUCAAUAUACGAGCACGAAAUUUACAAUGAAGAAAAGUCAGUCACGCACAACCAAGCACGGGCUCAUUUACUGAACAAAUGGAAUCUGAUCUCCAACUAUCGGCAAUAUCACAAGGUGCUCCACAAGUCCAAAACCCAGCGAGUUUAGUAAAAAGACUACAGUGGCAAUACAAUGAUAACACAGCAACACCACUACAGAGAGCUUAUUAUCUAGUGUAAUAGCCAUCAUCAUCGAAGCUCCUGCUCCUUACUGGG